rnacentral:tRNA from 1 species
AAGGUUAUAGCUCAGUGUAGAGUGCCUGCUUAUCAUGCACAAGUCCUGGGUUCAAUCCCCAGUGCCUCCA